rnacentral:rRNA from 1 species
AUGAACGCUGGCGGCGCGCCUUACGCAUGCAAGUCGAACGCUCCGGUUUCGGCCGGAGAGUGGCGGACGGCUGAGUAACGCGUAGGCAACCUGUCCGGAGGUGGGGGAUAACCCUUCGAAAGAAGGGCUAAUACCGCAUAAGUUCCCAGGGUGAGAUCCCCUGGGAGCAAAGCCGCAAGGCGCCACCGGAGGGGCCUGCGUCCUAUCAGGUAGUUGGUGAGGUAACGGCCCACCAAGCCGAUGACGGGUAGCUGGUCUGAGGGGACGACCAGCCAGAAGGGGACUGAGACACGGCCCCUACUCCUACGGGAGGCAGCAGCGAGGGAUCUUGGGCAAUGGGCGAAAGCCUGACCCAGCGACGCCGCGUGGGGGAAGAAGGCCUUCGGGUUGUAAACCUCUUUUGUCGGGGAAGAAGAUCUGACGGUACCCGGCGAAUAAGCCACGGCUAACUACGU